GAUGUAAUAUUAUUUAUUUUUUUUUUUUCUUUUAGAUAUGUAUUUUAUACUUCUAUAACACACAUAAUAUUUACGUUCAUCAAAAUGGAAUUCUUAUUGUUGGAAGAAAAAUAUAAAAACAUUGUGGUUAAAACUUAAUUCGGAAAUGUUAUUUAUUCAUGUGUGUUUUUUUUUUUUUUUUUUUAAACUUAUAUGUUGUUGUCUAAUUGUUGUAAUUAUGUGUUCAGUUUAUAUUUUGUCUAAAAAAAAAAAAAAAAAAACACGUUAAAAUAUUACUUUAUUUUAAAAAAAUAGCUAUUUUUUUUUGUUCCUUUUUUUUUAUAUUAAAAGGAUAAGUCAAACUAUGAAAAUAUGAUUCUUAAGAGAGAAACAGAAUGCCUACAAAAAAAAAUCAAGAAUUUAGAAGAUGUUUAUAUCGAAAAAGAAAAUAAAAUUAUGGAAAUAUUAGAAGAGAAAGAAGAUCUUAAAGAUCAUAUAUUCGAAAUAGAAAACGAAAAUUCCAAACUAAGGGAUAAUAUUGCCAAGCUUAAUGAAAGAAUAUUAGAUUUAACAGAUGUGUGUAAAACAUACAGACAUAUGAUUAAAACUAGAAACAAAGAAUUACAACAAAGUGAUAUCUUAAUUAUAGAGAAUAAGAACUUAAGAAAUAUUAUUGAAGAUAUGAAGAACCAUAAAUUAUUAUUAGAAUCGAAGAUCACAAAAAAAAAUAAAAUAAUUGAUGUGAUUAAGGAAAAAUACCAAAAAAAUAUAUCAAGAAUAUUAGAAAAGUUUAAUGAAAAGGAUAAAUGCAUUAACGAGUUUCGAAGUUAUGUUAUUCACGGUAUGAGAACAUAAAAGAAAAAAAAAAAAAAAAUUCAUACAAAUUAUUGUAUUAAUAUUAGGAAUUCAUUUUUUUUAACUGCUUUCUUAUAAUU
rnacentral:lncRNA from 1 species